rnacentral:rRNA from 1 species
UACGUAGGGUGCAAGCGUUGUCCGGAAUUAUUGGGCGUAAAGAGCUCGUAGGCGGUUUGUCGCGUCGGCUGUGAAAACCUGGGGCUCAACCCCGGGCCUGCAGCCGAUACGGGCAAGCGUAGAGUUCGGCAGGGGAGACGUGGAAUUCCUGGUGUAGCGGUGAAAUGCGCAGAUAUCAGGAGGAACACCGGUGGCGAAGGCGGGUCUCUGGGCCGAAAUUGACGCUGAGGAGCGAAAGCGUGGGGAGCAAACAGG